rnacentral:tRNA from 1 species
GGGGAUUUAGCUCAGUGGUAGAGCGCUUGCCUUGCAAGUGCAAGGCCCUGGGUUCGGUCCCCAGCUCCA